GGUUAAGCGACUAAGCGUACACGGUGGAUGCCCUGGCAGUCAGAGGCGAUGAAGGACGUGCUAAUCUGCGAUAAGCGUCGGUGAGGUGAUAUGAACCGUUAUAACCGGCGAUUUCCGAAUGGGGAAACCCAGUGUGUUUCGACACACUAUCAUUAACUGAAUCCAUAGGUUAAUGAGGCGAACCGGGGGAACUGAAACAUCUAAGUACCCCGAGGAAAAGAAAUCAACCGAGAUUCCCCCAGUAGCGGCGAGCGAACGGGGAGGAGCCCAGAGCCUGAAUCAGUGUGUGUGUUAGUGGAAGCGUCUGGAAAGGCGCGCGAUACAGGGUGACAGCCCCGUACACAAAAAUGCACAUAUUGUGAGCUCGAUGAGUAGGGCGGGACACGUGGUAUCCUGUCUGAAUAUGGGGGGACCAUCCUCCAAGGCUAAAUACUCCUGACUGACCGAUAGUGAACCAGUACCGUGAGGGAAAGGCGAAAAGAACCCCGGCGAGGGGAGUGAAAAAGAACCUGAAACCGUGUACGUACAAGCAGUGGGAGCCUCUUUAUGGGGUGACUGCGUACCUUUUGUAUAAUGGGUCAGCGACUUAUAUUCUGUAGCAAGGUUAACCGAAUAGGGGAGCCGAAGGGAAACCGAGUCUUAACUGGGCGUUAAGUUGCAGGGUAUAGACCCGAAACCCGGUGAUCUAGCCAUGGGCAGGUUGAAGGUUGGGUAACACUAACUGGAGGACCGAACCGACUAAUGUUGAAAAAUUAGCGGAUGACUUGUGGCUGGGGGUGAAAGGCCAAUCAAACCGGGAGAUAGCUGGUUCUCCCCGAAAGCUAUUUAGGUAGCGCCUCGUGAAUUCAUCUCCGGGGGUAGAGCACUGUUUCGGCAAGGGGGUCAUCCCGACUUACCAACCCGAUGCAAACUGCGAAUACCGGAGAAUGUUAUCACGGGAGACACACGGCGGGUGCUAACGUCCGUCGUGAAGAGGGAAACAACCCAGACCGCCAGCUAAGGUCCCAAAGUCAUGGUUAAGUGGGAAACGAUGUGGGAAGGCCCAGACAGCCAGGAUGUUGGCUUAGAAGCAGCCAUCAUUUAAAGAAAGCGUAAUAGCUCACUGGUCGAGUCGGCCUGCGCGGAAGAUGUAACGGGGCUAAACCAUGCACCGAAGCUGCGGCAGCGACACUAUGUGUUGUUGGGUAGGGGAGCGUUCUGUAAGCCUGUGAAGGUGGCCUGUGAGGGUUGCUGGAGGUAUCAGAAGUGCGAAUGCUGACAUAAGUAACGAUAAAGCGGGUGAAAAGCCCGCUCGCCGGAAGACCAAGGGUUCCUGUCCAACGUUAAUCGGGGCAGGGUGAGUCGACCCCUAAGGCGAGGCCGAAAGGCGUAGUCGAUGGGAAACAGGUUAAUAUUCCUGUACUUGGUGUUACUGCGAAGGGGGGACGGAGAAGGCUAUGUUGGCCGGGCGACGGUUGUCCCGGUUUAAGCGUGUAGGCUGGUUUUCCAGGCAAAUCCGGAAAACCAAGGCUGAGGCGUGAUGACGAGGCACUACGGUGCUGAAGCGACAAAUGCCCUGCUUCCAGGAAAAGCCUCUAAGCAUCAGGUAACAUCAAAUCGUACCCCAAACCGACACAGGUGGUCAGGUAGAGAAUACCAAGGCGCUUGAGAGAACUCGGGUGAAGGAACUAGGCAAAAUGGUGCCGUAACUUCGGGAGAAGGCACGCUGAUAUGUAGGUGAAGCGACUUGCUCGUGGAGCUGAAAUCAGUCGAAGAUACCAGCUGGCUGCAACUGUUUAUUAAAAACACAGCACUGUGCAAACACGAAAGUGGACGUAUACGGUGUGACGCCUGCCCGGUGCCGGAAGGUUAAUUGAUGGGGUUAGCGGUAACGCGAAGCUCUUGAUCGAAGCCCCGGUAAACGGCGGCCGUAACUAUAACGGUCCUAAGGUAGCGAAAUUCCUUGUCGGGUAAGUUCCGACCUGCACGAAUGGCGUAAUGAUGGCCAGGCUGUCUCCACCCGAGACUCAGUGAAAUUGAACUCGCUGUGAAGAUGCAGUGUACCCGCGGCAAGACGGAAAGACCCCGUGAACCUUUACUAUAGCUUGACACUGAACAUUGAGCCUUGAUGUGUAGGAUAGGUGGGAGGCUUUGAAGUGUGGACGCCAGUCUGCAUGGAGCCGACCUUGAAAUACCACCCUUUAAUGUUUGAUGUUCUAACGUUGGCCCGUAAUCCGGGUUGCGGACAGUGUCUGGUGGGUAGUUUGACUGGGGCGGUCUCCUCCUAAAGAGUAACGGAGGAGCACGAAGGUUGGCUAAUCCUGGUCGGACAUCAGGAGGUUAGUGCAAUGGCAUAAGCCAGCUUGACUGCGAGCGUGACGGCGCGAGCAGGUGCGAAAGCAGGUCAUAGUGAUCCGGUGGUUCUGAAUGGAAGGGCCAUCGCUCAACGGAUAAAAGGUACUCCGGGGAUAACAGGCUGAUACCGCCCAAGAGUUCAUAUCGACGGCGGUGUUUGGCACCUCGAUGUCGGCUCAUCACAUCCUGGGGCUGAAGUAGGUCCCAAGGGUAUGGCUGUUCGCCAUUUAAAGUGGUACGCGAGCUGGGUUUAGAACGUCGUGAGACAGUUCGGUCCCUAUCUGCCGUGGGCGCUGGAGAACUGAGGGGGGCUGCUCCUAGUACGAGAGGACCGGAGUGGACGCAUCACUGGUGUUCGGGUUGUCAUGCCAAUGGCACUGCCCGGUAGCUAAAUGCGGAAGAGAUAAGUGCUGAAAGCAUCUAAGCACGAAACUUGCCCCG
rnacentral:rRNA from 1 species